ACGGGUGAGUAACGCGUGGGAACGUACCUUUUGGUUCGGAACAACACAGGGAAACUUGUGCUAAUACCGGAUAAGCCCUUACGGGGAAAGAUUUAUCGCCGAAAGAUCGGCCCGCGUCUGAUUAGCUAGUUGGUGAGGUAAUGGCUCACCAAGGCGACGAUCAGUAGCUGGUCUGAGAGGGUGAUCAGCCACAUUGGGACUGAGACACGGCCCAAACUCCUACGGGAGGCAGCAGUGGGGAAUAUUGGACAAUGGGGGCAACCCUGAUCCAGCCAUGCCGCGUGAGUGAUGAAGGCCCUAGGGUUGUAAAGCUCUUUUGUGCGGGAAGAUAAUGACGGUACCGCAAGAAUAAGCCCCGGCUAACUUCGUGCCAGCAGCCGCGGUAAUACGAAGGGGGCUAGCGUUGCUCGGAAUCACUGGGCGUAAAGGGUGCGUAGGCGGGUCUUUAAGUCAGGGGUGAAAUCCUGGAGCUCAACUCCAGAACUGCCUUUGAUACUGAAGAUCUUGAGUUCGGGAGAGGUGAGUGGAACUGCGAGUGUAGAGGUGAAAUUCGUAGA
rnacentral:rRNA from 1 species